GAGGGUAGAGUUCAAUGGUAGAGUGUGUGCCUAGCAUGCGUCAAGGUCCUGGGUUCGAUCCCCAGUACCUCCA
rnacentral:tRNA from 1 species